CCCUACGAAUGAGGUUUUGACCCAGUAGGCUCUGGCCACCUCCCCUUUUCCAUAAAGUUUUUUCUAGAAGUCAUGACAUUUCUCCUCUUUGAUGGAGAAAUCUUCUUACUAUUACCCUUACCAUGAGUUUUCCAGACAAGCAACCUAAAAUUAAUAAUUAGCACAGCUCUCAUACUAAUUAUUAUUUUAAUCCUAGGCCUAGCCUAUGAGUAAGCCCAAAAGAGGUUAGAAUGAAUUGGU
rnacentral:lncRNA from 1 species